rnacentral:rRNA from 1 species
ACUGCUAUCGGAUUGAUACUAAGCCAUGCGAGUCUUUGUAGUAAUACAAGGCAGACGGCUCAGUAACACGUAGUCAACUACCCUAUGGACAAGAAUAAUCUCGGGAAACUGAGCAUAAUUCUUGAUAGAUCAUAAUGCCUGGAAUGGUUUAUGGUUAAAAUGAUUCGUCGCCAUAGGAUGGGACUGCGGCCUAUCAGCUUGUUGGUGAGGUAAUGGCCCACCAAGGCGAUUACAGGUACAGGCUCUGAGAGGAGAAGCCCGGAGAUGGGUACUGAGACACGGACCCAGGCCCUAUGGGGCGCAGCAGGCGAGAAAACUUUGCAAUGUGCGAAAGCACGACAAGGUUAAUCCGAGUGAUUUCUGCUAAAGAAAUCUUUUGCCAGUCCUAAAACCGCUGGUGAAUAAGGGGUGGGCAAGUUCUGGUGUCAGCCGCCGCGGUAAAACCAGCACCUCAAGUGGUCAGGAUGAUUAUUGGGCCUAAAGCAUCCGUAGCCUGCUUUGUAAGUUUUCGGUUAAAUCCAUGUGCUCAACGCAUGGGCUGCCGAAAAUACUGCAUAGCUAGGGAGUGGGAGAGGUAGACGGUACUCAGUAGGUAGGGGUAAAAUCCUUUGAUCUAUUGAUGACCACCUGUGGCGAAGGCGGUCUACCAGAACACGUUCGACGGUGAGGGAUGAAAGCUGGGGGAGCAAACCGGAUUAGAUACCCGGGUAGUCCCAGCUGUAAACGAUGCAGACUAGAUGAUGCAUUGGCAUAAUAGCCAUUGCAGUGUCUCAGGGAAGCCGUUAAGUCUGCCGCCUGGGAAGUACGUACGCAAGUAUGAAACUUAAAGGAAUUGGCGGGGGAGCACCACAAGGGGUGAAGCCUGCGGUUCAUUGGAUUCACCGCCG